GUUUUGUGGCAACGCAAGGAAUGAGAUUUGUUCUUAUUGCACAGGCAGGCUUACUGGAAUUUUGUAGGAGUUUCAGACACUUAAAACCCCUACAGCGUAGAGGGCUUACACACAUUAGAAAAUAAGACACUGUUCUAUUUCAGCUGAUUGUAUUAAAGCAAUCUUCAAAAUAAAGCCAUUGCAAGUCAUGUAAUGCUGCUAAGGACUGUAUUUUUGGUGACUGAGAAGGUUCUUUCUGAAAUGGGAGGAUGUUACUGAAAAAUACUUCCUUUGACAUUAAAACUCUCCUAUAUACACAAUGUUGAGCUGAUUAGUUAAACCCAGCACAGCAUAAAACCAGAAAGAAGGAUCAAAUUGUGCAAUUGCAAGUCCCAGUUCUGUGAGGGAGUUUAAUGCUCCCUGUAUACAAUACCUUAUAUAUUGUGCAGCCUUGAAUACGUUACCCUUGGAGAGAUCUGCGGUCUCAGUACUCCCAACAACUACCCAUAAAUUGCUGGGUGAAAGUAGUAAGGAGUAGUAAAUCAGUCCCAGUAUCCUGAAACGCUGUUGCACGUGAAACCUGAUUCAUGUCUGGAGUCUUUGGUGUAUAAGUGGCUCCUCCUGCAGCAGCUCCCUAAAAUGAAGAGGGAUAAAGGAGGAAAAAAAAAAAAAGAGGUGUAGUUUAAACUUCCUAGCUCCUACAAAAAUAGAUAUGUACAAUGUCAGAGUGCUAAUACUUGUGAUUAAUGUUUUUAUCACAGACCGGUUUGGGUUGGAAGGGACCUCACAGCCCAUCCAGUCCCACCCUUUGCCAUGGGCAGGGACACCCUCCACCAGCCCAGGUUGCCCAAAGCCCCAUCCAACCUGGCCUUGAACACUGCCAGGGAGCCAGGGGCAGCCACAGCUGCUCUGGGCAACCUGUGCCAGGGCCUCAGCACCCUCACAGGGAAGGAUUUCCUCCUCAGAUCUCAUCUCCAUCUCCCCUCCGUCAGCUUCAGGCCAUUCCCCUUGUCCUGUCACUCCCUGCCCUUGUCACCAGCCCCUCUCCAGCUUUCCUGGAGCCCCCGCAGGGACUGGAAGGGGCUCUAAGGUCUCCCCGGAGCCUUCUCUUCUCCAGGCUGAACCACCCCAACUCUCUCAGCCUGUCUCCAUAGGAGAGGUGCUCCAGCGUAAUUCUGCCCGAGGAAGCUGUGACUGAUGCUAUUAGCACCUGGUACAUAAAACUAAAUCAUAUCUUAUGCCAAAACAAGCACAGUCAAAGACUUUCCUCAAUUAUUUUACAAAAAAAGUAAGACUGGAGCUGUUUUUAGAGCCUGAUGUAAUACUGUCCUGAUCGUUUCUUCAUCAGCUGGCAUGUACUGCCCCACUUGCGUUACAGUACAUGCUGUAAUGAAAGAGGUGAUGCAUAGCUGCAGAAACCAGUGGGUAGACGGACAAAGCAAAGCAAAUUGUCCUCAGUUUUGAACAAAUGCAAUAUAUUUCCUUUUUCUGUUACUGUUUCAAGUUAAAUACAGCUACUGUGGAGAGUACAGGAGAGCUGGCAGUGAAUGCUACUACCACUGCGGUGCAAAUAAGCAAAGUCAACGCGUCUGACUAAUCUCCCUCGGUGCAGUAUUGCUGCCGUUCCCCCCCUCCGCACCAUCCUGCUGCUGCACGUACCCUACAGCAACACCGCCGCUGCCGUUCCGAUACGACAGCCCAGCACCGAUUCGUAUCGGGUAUUUCUGGUGCUUUAACAGGUGAGAGAGGCAGGUCAAACCUCAGCAGGCCAAUGGAAAAAACCUAAAGGUAAGUACACCAGUUGGAGCAUUGGGCAUGAGAAAUAGUGUGAACUAACUAGAGUAUAUGAGUAUCUGAAGGAUGCAAAUGCAGGAAAUGGGAUUCUUGUUAGGAUGCUGUUAAAAGGUUUCAGCUAACUGUCACAAACAUUUGCAAUGAAGUACGUGACGCUAUGGUGGAGAUACUGUAAGUGGAUGAAGGGCCAACAAGCGGCUCUGGAAAGCCAUCCUCUGGCAGGAACAGACACGUCUAAACCUUCCUUCAGCCGAAGUCAAUGGAAAUCCUCCCCUUAAUCUCAGGGCAGGACUUCACUUUGAGCCCCAGCAGUACAGUUUUUACACAAGUGAUUGAAAUAAGCUAGGCAAGGCUUGUUGUUUACUGAGCGGGUAGCCAAGCUGCAUGAAGGUGGUGAUGUGGAAGAGGCAGGAAGCUGUUCUCCAGAGUCAUCGCCCUGCCAGGUCUGCAUCGCUCAGCAGGCAACCGCUGCUCGUCUGCGCUGCAGGACUGCGACGGCUUCCAGAAGUGGCACUUCCUUCAAGGAGCUCGACCAUGUCUGCUUACCCUAACCAAGAAGAGGAAGAUGCCAGUUAGUAACCACCUAAUACGGAGUUAGUUAUUACAGUAUUGUUAGUUUAUUCAUAUGGAAGUGAAUUAGACCAUAUGAAAUUCUCGAAGACAUUUAAAAAUAUUUCUCAGGUGCAUGAUGAAGUUUUUACUCUUAAUAAAAUACCCGUUUUCUGUUUCGCAUUUCAA